ACCUUUUACACCGAUAACAGUUGAUUGUGAAGCCCAGUUGAUAUAAUUGGAGAAGACCCUUUGGGGAGCCAGGCUUGGUGGUGUGCAUGGGUACCCAGCCUCCCAGCAUCCCACAAGUUCCAGGCUGUCUGGGAUAUAUAUAGAGAGAGGGUCAGGGAGAGGGGGAGAGUUGGGGAAGAUUUGGGAGACAUUGUUUUGGUGACAGAUCACUUAGAAGAAGCCCGUUUUCUGACCACUGAAGCCUGUUUCACUGAGUAACUUCUGAAAUUGCCUGAGCUUGCUCCUGCCUCAGAAAAUCAUAUUUAAUGACCUAAUUCACAGGCUCUGGCAUCAUGAGUAGGGAGACAUAACACUGAGGAGUGAGCUGGAUACUUCUGACUCUCUGGACAAACCCAUUCUAGAACGUUCUUUCCUCUUUGUCUGUCUCUGUGUUUGAAAAGUACAGGGCUUGGUUCUCAGUCCUUGCUGCCUGGUGUAUACCUGAACCAGGGAGCUCCCAGUCAGGCACAAACCUGGUUCAUUAAAGCGUCCUCUUCUCUGGCCUUGGAUAACACAAGUUCAUGACUGCACCCGUGAGCUUUUCACUCAGGAAAGCUGUCUGUUACUCUCCCUGGUCGAAUUAGGCUGAACAUGACUCCAAGUGUACACGUGUGUAAAGGAUGUAUACAAGUGAGACAUAUAUUGGCAACAGCUCAUACCAGUUAUUUAAAAAUACAGUUCUUUGGUAGACACUAACUUUUACUAUUAAAGGACAAAGCGGACUUGUGUACUAAUGAGAUGUACGUGUGUGUUUCUUUUGACACACAGAGUUAAAUCUCGAUUGAGUAUUUGAUAUUGUAGAUGGGACAUGCUCAAAGCUGUCGGGGCUCAGAGCACUUCACAUAAGCACCCAGUACAAGACAGCGGGAUGUUUAAGACCAUUUCAAAAAUUGUUGGACAUUCUAUCCUAAGCAUAAGCCAAAAUUCGUUAAAUGAUGUUUAAAAAUGUUUUUAGUUGUUGUUGCUGUGGUGUGUGUGUAUGUGUGUGUGUGUGUGUGUGUGUAUGUGUGUGUGUGUUGUGUGUGUGGUGUGUGUAUGGUGUGUGUGUGUCUGAGUGUGUGUAUGUGUGUGCAUGUGUGUGUAUGGUGUGUGUGUAUGUGUGUGUGUAUGUGUGUGUGUGUUGUGUGUGUUGUGUGUGUGUCUGAGUGUGUGUAUGUGUGUGCAUGUGUGUGUAUGGUGUGUGUGUAUAUGUGUGUGUUGUGUGUGCAUGUGUGUGUGGUGUGUGUAUGGUGUGUGUGUGUCUGAGUGUGUGUAUGUGUGUGCAUGUGUGUGUGUAUGUGUGUGUGGUGUGUGUGUAUGUGUGUGUGUGUGUGCCUGUGUGUGUGUGUCUGAGUGUGUGUAUGUGUGUAUGUGUGUGUGUAUGGUGUGUGUGUGUUGUGUGUGUUGUGUGUGUGUGUCUGAGUGUGUGUAUGUGUGUGCAUGUGUGUGUGUGUGUGUUGUGUGUGCAUGUGUGUGUGUGUAGGCACACAUGACACUUGUUUCGGGGAUCAAAACUUGGGCCUUCGGGUUUGGUGGCAAGUGCUUUUACUCACUGAGCCCUCUGUGCCGCUCUGUUUAAGGACUUUAAAACCAAACACUCUAGCUGAGCACACUCCAGAGAUAACACGGCUUUGAUCCUACUGAGGCACAAUAGGGCAAUGUGGACAACAUCUUUGUCCUUAUAAUUCAUCCAUCACGCUUCUGUAUGAGCAGAAACUAAUUUGUGUCUCGGGGAGUCUGAGCCUCAGUGUUCCGGGCAGUGUUUGUUGUGUGUUCAGAAUCAAAGCUGCAGUGAAGUCACAUGACACAACAUGGGCAUCACGUGAUAUAACAUGGGCGAGCGUUGCCAACAACUCCCCGGCUCCGUUACAUGUUUGCUUUUGAAAUGAUUUGUUAUUGUUGUGUGUUCAGAAGCCUUUUACUCCUGCCAAAUCUUUCACAACCCCCACAUUUAGUCACUGUACCCCAGACGAGGCUGUCACCACAGUUUCAGAAGCUGGGCGUCACAGACUGCAGUGUUUGUGGCGAGGGGCCAGAGUUCAGAGCAGGCUUCUGUAGUAGCGCGGACUCAGACGAGGUGCUUAACCCCUCAUCAUUAAAAUAGAGGUGGCAACAGUACCCAGCGCACAGUGCUGGUGUGAUGCGGUGUGGACCGCUCCCGCAGAAGACCCCAGUUUGGUUCCCAGCAGUCGUGUCCAGCAACCUCCAACCACUCGAACACCUCCAGGCGUUGCAAUGCCCUCUUUUGACCUCCAUGGACACUGUGCUCACUUGUACAAACACAUCUGCAGAUAAUUAAAACUGAAAGUAAAAUAGUUUUUAAAAUUUUUUUUUUUAAAGAAAUGUUGGUUGCUGUCAUUUGACGUGAUUUGUUCUCUGGGUGGCCUUUCUUUGGCUUUAGUUCUCCCACCUGUGAAUUGGAAGGCUGUGUUCUAGUACUUGUUACCGCUCACCCCUGCCUGCCUCUUGACAGUGGUCUGUUCCAUUCCCUGUGUCUUAGCCUGGACUCCUGGCUUCUGGAGGGGAAGCACUAUGUGUCCCCUCAUCUUUCUUGCCUAUGCACAGCACCAUGGGUAGCACCUGACUCGGAGAGCCAUAGCACUCCUGUCUAAGCCUGACUGACAGCUGCCUAGGGUUGGAGUGGUCUGGGGCACUGUUUGCUGGCCCCAGUGUCAUGUGCACAGGGGCGAGAACCAAGGACCCCAGGGAAGGGAAGCUGCAGGCAGCAGUGGGGACGGGAAGAGCUGGAGCCAGAGAGGGAGCUAGAAUCUGUAUCAGCAAACCUGCCCACCUUGCAGCAGGAGUGAGCAUUUUGCACAGAAACUGCUGUGGUCUGGCUGUAAUUAAGAUGAGCUAAUGAGAGACUCUCAGGCUAUCCUUUAGAGAGACUCUGUUGCUGCUGCCAUCGCUGGAUGGAAGAAGGCAGUUACCCCUGGGACCAGCAUGGAUACAAAGGUUGAAGGGAAUCUCUAUACAUGAAGUGCAUAGCUCAGUCACAAGAGAGAGCCCAGGCUAGCAGAGCGGGAAGCUGACCAGCAGAGGCAGCCUGGGACCUGGGAAGAGCAGAGCCAGGAGGUAGACUGCUGCAAUUCAAACCGGCCCCAUCUCUGUGUGAACACCAUUUCCCUCCUCAUCCAUACAAUGGGGUCAUAAUCCUAAACGCAGCACACGUGUUAUAUUUCUUUGUUUCCUAUUUACCUCGGCAUGGAAAGUGUUAGAGAAUUGUUCUAGUGAGGUGUUUCUUUGUUGAGAGAGUGACAUGAAGGUAUUUCAGGAAAGAGGUGAGCCAAUGUUAUCCGGAUGAGGCUAUGAGAGUCAGUGGAGGGAACCGGACAAGACAUGGUGCUAGGGACAGAGCUUAGAGGUAGAUCCCCUGCCUCAUGUGCAUGAGGUGCAGGACUUGAUCCCCAGAUUCAUAUACAAUAGAAUAUAAAUAUGAGUAAAUAAAUAAUUAAGCUGGGUGUGGUGGUACAUACCUGUAAUCCCAGCACGUGAGAACCUGAGACAGUGAGAUCACUAUAAGAGGCCAACUUGGUUUACAUAGCAAUGACCAAAACUGACCAGGGCUAUAGAGACCCUGUAACACCCCACUAAAAAUAAAGGAAACAACAACAAAAAAGCAAGUAUAAUUUUAAAUUAUUCAUUCAUUUAUUAUGUGCACGCACGUGGACCUUUGUAACUUUAUAUACACCAUGCGCAUGAAGGAGCCAAAAGGUCAGAGGGCAUCAGAACUCCCGAGGCCCCCAGUGUGGGCGCCAGUUGUGUGUGAGCUCAGGUCCUCUCUAGCCCCACAAAUGCAAUUUUUAUUUUGUCCUUACUGCCCAGGGCCUGUGUGUUGAACAGAGAGCCCAGAAUGAGGACAGGUAGAUCCACAGUAUUCUCAGAUGUCCACCUGCCCGGGAGCAGAGAAUCAGAGGUGCUCUGGAGUAGCAGUCCUCAAAGGGAGCCCUGCAGAGUGUGUGCUUUGCAGGCGAAGUAACAAGAUGCUGCUGCCUGUUCACCCUGGCAGGAGGCCGGCGAGACACGCUGAAGAGGAGCCCUAGCAGCCUGAGUGCCUGCCGCCCACUCCCCAGCUCCACUGUCAUUGCAGGAUCAGACAGAUUCCUGCCUUCAGUCCACCCGGAGCCCAGCACCAGUGCCUGACACUAUAUUUCCUACAUGAUAGACUUGCAAUACCUCCAGAGUAGGCUGGAAUGGAAUAAAAAGAAGCCACUCUUUGCUCAUGGACAGGAGCCUUAAUGGUUAGCGAGUGUGUACCAGACUACACAGCCUGGGGAGAGAAGUGAGGCAGGGAAGGGUGAGGGGAUGGCGUAGGGAUUUACUCUGUCUUGGGGGAGUGAACACAACUCUACACAAGGUACACAUGUUCUAACCACUAUGCACAAAUGAGACUCAGAGGUGAGAUGGGUUAAACGGGUUGCUCAUAGAAGGGCGGGGUUAUAACUGACUAUAAGGGAGACCCAGGCUCCCUGAAAGCCAUAGUGACCUAAGAAAAAUGUGUCUUCAUCCUGGAUGUCUGUGUCCUGGACAAAAGUCGCAUGUAGCCCCGAGGCCGUGGUAAGAUGAAUCCUGCCCCUGUUUGGGAUCUGGACAUCUCAGCAGCCCUGGGGAUGGUGCCGGUUCAGGUUUGUUCUGAGUCAGAAUUCUGCUACCCACUUCCCAGAAAGGGACCCAGUCCCUGCCCAUGCAGCCCUGGGUGAGCCUCUUGGGCCUCACUUUCACCUUCCUCCAGAAAGAAGAAUUCUGUGGUGACUUUAUCGGCAUCUAGGUUUCUGUCCUCCUUUGGCAGUUCCAAUGAGUUCUUCCCUUAGUUUCCCAAUUAAGUCAUUCUUGGCAUGGCUAGUGCUUGCCACCAGGCCCCUGUGGUGAGGCAGGAUGGCAGGUGGUGUGAGUUCCUGCCUGGGAGGGACAGCCUGAUCUAGCCCUGUGGGUGCUUAGAUGACAGCUAGGGAGAGAGACGAGUCCAUUGGCUGUAACUGGGCUGCCCACUCAACCUCCUGCUUCCUGCAGCUACCCUGCCCUGCUGAGCUGGUUUCCUAGUCUGUAACCUUGCCAACAUGGCGCCCACCCCAGAAGUGGGUCUUCCUGAGUGGUGUAGGCAUGCCAAGGUCCUGCUCUGGGUCUGCACACUCGCCUGGUUUAUUAGUCAUCUUUUUCCAUUUCUUUUCAUCCAGGAUUUCCCUCUGUAGACAUUGUUGGCAGAGAUGAGUGAGGUCACAUGAUUGAGCCGCUCAGGAGACCCCUGCCCCAUUUGUUCUAGGAACUUUUCUUCUUUCUACUUGACAAAGGCAACCUGAGGAAAGCAGAGUUGACUUGGCUCACCAUUCCAUCGUGGCAGGAAGGGGCAGCAGUCGGAAAAGACGGCAGCUGCUCCCUUCGUGCAUAGCAAGCAAAGACCACCCAACCCUUGGGCUCGGUUCUUCUUCCUUUCAUUAUGUCUGAGACCUCAGCCCGGGAAAUGGCACCACCCACUUCUAGGGUGAGUGUUCCCACCUCAAUUAACCUAAUCUAGACCGUCCCUCAUUGAAACUCCCAGACAUUUGUUUCCAUGGUGACUCUAAAUUCCAUCAAGUUGACAGUCAAGAGUAACCAUCUUAUCUUGUGUUUGUUGGCAAGCCAGCCUUGUCUAUUCAGUGGCCUCCAGGGCAGUGGCAGACAUUGUUGAGAGGAGUGGACAACUCCUGGGGAUUGAUAUUUGAAGCCGUCUUCGGCCUUUACACGUAUGUGCGUCCAGAGGAGCACAUGCAUAUGUAGGCAUACAUAAAAAGAAGUGGAGGCAGGCGGGCGGGCGGGCAGGCAGGCAAGAGGAGCUGGCUACAUUGUCUUUCUCCACACUCCACUCAGACAUUACUGGUGAUGGCAUUCUGGAGCGCAAGGCCUGCCAGACAGCCUUUGUUAAAUACUUGUAUAUUGGCCAGAAGCAUGGCCCCCACUUUCCUUAGCAAAGCCGUUUCUUGACCCAACUUGAAAUGACGGUCUAUGCAUCACUUUACUGGUGCUUUCCAGCUGGCGACCCUGGAACCUUUGUUAGAUGCAUGGUGGAGCAUUUGACCUUGGCCUGACACCCAUCAAACAGGGCCCUGUCAGAAUUUAAUAGAGAAAAAAGUGUAAUGGAGAAAAAUUACAUUUUUAUUUUUAUUUUAUGGCUCUAGCAAUGAUACCUUUGAACCCCAGGGCUUUGGAGAGUGCUCGGAGGCCUGUUCAAGCUUGCGUGCCCCUCUGUGGAGUGUGAUAGGCAGGCUGUAAAUGUCUUCUCCGAUGAUACAUUUUAUCUUUGUUGCUAAGUGAUGAGUCCGUACCGCCAUGGACAUUGCUAUUUCACCGUGGGAAAGGACACAGCCCAGAAGCUCAGUUAUACAAAAGUUUAUUUUUAAUUUUGCAAUGUAUUACCAACUUCACCUCUAAAGGAUGAUACUAUUUUUCUAUUCCAACCAGCAAUAUGCAACAGUGCCCGUCUCCCCCCCCCCCCCCCGCCCCCUUUUUUUGUAGUGUCUCUAAUAGAGGGUUGUAAAGGUUUGGAGUUUUGUGAGUCUGAUGUGACAGUUGAACAAAUAUUCAAGGCAACUUUUAAAUUAAUCUGUGUUUUGUUUUGAGACAGAGUCUCUCUACAUAGCCACAUAGCCCUGGCUGUUCUGGAACUCACUGCAUAGACCAGGCUGGCCUUGAACUCGCAGAGAUGUAUCUCCCUACCUCUGCCUUCUGAGUGCUGGGAUUUAAAGAUGUCCAUCACUAUGCCUGGCUUUUUUCUUUUAACUUUAUGUGUAUGUGUUUUGCCUAAACAUAUGUUUGUGUACCAUGGGCUUGCUUGGUGUCUGUGGAACCCAAAAGUGUGUGUUGGAGUCUCUGAAUCUGGAGUUGUAGAAGGGUUGAUAAGUGCCCUCCCUGUAGGUGCCAGGGAUCCAACUCAGGUCCUUGGUAAGAGCAUACAGCACCCUUAACCACUGAGCCCUUUUGAUUGCUUUUGUACUUGAAGCAUAACAUUUACAUACUGGCAAGGUGGCUCAGUGGAUAUAGCCACUUAUCUCCAAGUCUGACAACCUGAGUUUCAGAACCAUGGCUGACAUGAGCUCCAGAGAACUGACAGCUGAAAAUUGUCCUUUGACCUCCACAGGUGGUUCGUUCUCUCUCUCUCUCUCUCUCUCUCUCUCUCUCUCUCUCUCUCUCUCUCUCUCUCUUUCUCUCUCUCUCUCUCUCCAUAAAUGAAUGUAAUGGGCAAUCUUGGUCGUGAGCCUGGUGGGGUUGGGGAGUAAACAAGGGAAUGCCAAGGCACCUGGCAUUGCACCUAUUCGAGAAGGCUUCAGCGUGACUGUCUGUGAGGUGUUUCCAGAGACAGUUAGACCCUGGGGUGGGGAAGGGAUGGGGCGUUGACCUCAUGAAUGGUUUAGUUCAUUAACAGAUUUAAAUUUUGAGUAGACUCUGAUAGAUGUGUGAUUGGUGAGGCCUGGUUGGAGGAAGUGGUGUCUUGAGUGGGUUCUUAGGUGCUAGGUCCUGCCCUAACCACUUUGCUGUUACUACUCCAACCUGCUUCCUUCAGCCAUGAUGUGAGCAACUUUACUGUGUCCUCCUUGACGAAAUGAUGGAAGCCUCGGAAAUCACGACGUAAAGAAAUUCUUCUCUUGAACUGUGUGUUGGGUCACAGCACUGAUAAGCCUGUAGAACAUAUGUAACAUGUUUCAAUCCUAAGGCUUUGGUUUAAUGAUUUUUUUUCACACAAGUGUGUACCUCAGAAACUACCACCCAGGCCAUUACACAAGACAUGUCCAGCACCUCAAAGGGUGACCUCAUGCCCCACACCAGUCAGUAUUCCUGUUGUCUUCUGUCUCUAACGGUGAUAUGUGUCUGUCUGAACGCCAUAUCAUGCUGCUGCUGUUUGACUUUUGACCCGCUCAUUGUGUCUCUAAGAAUUAUUCAUGCACUGUACAGCAACAGCUCUCUUUUGCUGCUUGGUUAAUAUUUCUCUUUGUGAUCGCAUCACAUGCUUAUCCAUUUAACUCUUGGUGGACAUCUGGAUUUCUAUCCGAGGAAUUGUGAGGAAAGCUGUUGUGAAUGUCUCAUAGAGUCCCUUGUAUGUGUUUAGAUAUAGAUCUUGUGGUGUUCAGAUGAGAAUGCCCCUCCCCCCCCCGACUCAUUUGUUUAAUGCUUGUCCCCUCGCUGAUGGAACUGUCUGGGAAGGAUUAGGAGGUGUGGCCUUGUUGGAGGAGGUGUGCCACUGAGUGAAUUUUGAGGUUUCAAAAUCACAAGCCAUUCCAGUUAGCUUUUCUGUCUGCCCCACAGUGGUUGUCUCAACAUGUAAGCUGUCAGUGACUGCGCCAGUGUAUGCCUGCCUGCUGCCUGCUGUGCUCCCUGCCUGCUGCGUGCUGUGCUCCCUGCCUCAAUGGUCAUGGACACCCUCUGGAGCUGCCAAGUCCAGAAUUACUUUAUUUUAUGUUACCGUGGAGUGGUGUCUCUUCAUUGCCAUAUAAAAGUAACUAAGACAAUACUGUUUAAGCAUUUUCUAAAGCUUCUUCAUAAAGUUCAAGACCUCCAUUCCAAAGAUGUUAAGUCCCUGUCUGUUGUUUUACAGUGGGUUUGUCUGCUUUUCCCUACUGAUCUGUGGCAUACAGUGUCCACCCUUUAUUGAGGAAUUCCAUUGCAGACAUCUUUUUCCCAGCUCUUUUGCAACAUUCCCAUCUUUUGGUGAGUAAAUGUUCUCUAUCUUAGGGAAGUUGGGAUUAGCAGUCUCUUCAGUGCUUUGAGGUAUUAGUACUGGUUUAAGACACUUGACCUACUCUAAGGUCAUGGGAUUUUUUUAUCUGUGUUUUCUAUGUGAAAGUUUGUUUUGCCUAUUACAUUUAGAACUAAAAACCCACCUCAAAUUCCUUUUAAAAGCAUUGCUUCAGAACCAUCUAUUACAAAGUUUAAUCUUUCCUCACUGAACUGCAGAGACCACCCCCCCCCAGCUAAAGGUCAAGAGGUCACAAACACGUAUGUGUGCUUUGAGAUGGUUCUUUCUUUUUAUUAUUAGUUUGUUUUAUAAGCCUUCCUACUUUAUUAUCCUCAAAGGUUAUUGUGCUAUCCCAGCACUCAGGGGGCUGAGGCAAAGAGGAUCACUAAUUGGAGGGUAACCUGGGCUACAUAGCAAGACCCCGUCUCAAUAUUCACUCUCUCUCUCUCUCUCUCUCUCUCUCUCUCUCUCUCUCUCUCUCUCUCUCUCUCUCACACACACACACACACACACACACACACAGAGUGGCCUUUUUGCUUUCCAUCAUCUCAGUUAGCAUCCUUUCCUAUGGAGGCCAUUGAUAUUCCCUCCUACAAAAGGUUUGUUUCAUCCCUGUAUUGGUUUUCCACUGCCAUUGUAAUAAGUUACUUAAAGAUUAGUGGCUUAAAACAACAUACACACAUUGUCUUAAGGCUGAAGUCAGCAGUCUUGAUAGAUCUCUGGGCUAAAGGCGGGAGAGUGGUUUCUUCCUUUUCUUGAUAGCUCUAGAGUGAAUCUGUCACCAUUCCCACCUUCCAUGGACUGCCCAUGUCCUCUUCAGAAUCGACUUGCACCCCUUUUUUUGCAAAGCCAGAUGGAAACAUUUCCUCUGGUUCAUCUGACGCUGACUCUUUCUUCCCUUCCCGUCUUCAUUUAGCCUCUUGAUUAUAUUGGACCCACCUGGAGAGUCUAGCACCAUCUUUUAUGGUAAUGUCGGCUAACUGGUUCCCUUCAUUUGCUCAUUCAGUUACCCUUUGUCAUCUAACCCUCGAUUCACAGGCCGCAGGACCUCAGCAACCUUGAGUGGCAUUAUUCCAAUCAUGGCGUCCUACCCCUGUGUUGCAGGGUCUAAAUGGCCAUGAUCCUCACUCUCUACAGUUAACCCUAGUGUGGAAACACUCAGAUAUGGGGUCUCUGAGAGGUAACUAGGUUACGACAACUGUCUCAUAAGGAAGAUUGAUGUCCUUACAGAAGAUGCCCGUGGGAGUUUGUUUGUCCAUUUCCCCACAUGAGGACAUGUAGUGAGUGCCGUUCAUGAGAAAUAGCUUCUGCCAAACACAAGGCCAGAAUUGGCCUUGUAACUACCAGCAUCCAGAUUUUCAGUGGUAAAGGUCUUUUUAAAAGUGACCACAGUUGGGGCAUUUUGUUAGAGCAACCCAGGCAGGCUGAUAGCCAUCUCCCACUGUGGACAGUUGGUCGUUAGGAGUGUUCUCCAUAAGAGAGUCCUCUUUCUUGGCCAGUAUUAUUGCACACAUAAUUUCCUGAGUUUUUCUCUUUCAUUUUUGCUUUUGGUGUCUUUUGCUUAUUUUGCCUUUAUGAUUUUUGCUAUUUAGCCUUUUCUGUUAGCAAGGAUUAAAUGUAUCAGUCCUUUCAAUGUGGCUUCUGGAUAAGCCGGUGCAGCCCUCCAUAGGUGUAUAUGAAGGUACAGGUUUGCGCAUGCAUGGGAGUCAAGACACAACCUCAGUGUCGUUACUCAAGUACUGUUUUGUUUUGUUUUGUUUUGUUUAAAGACAGGGUCUCUUGUGAGUCUCUAAUCUGCCAAAUAGGUUAGGCUGACUGGCCAUCGCGCCCAGGUAUCUGCCUGUCUCCACUUUCCAAGAGCUAUGACUAUAAACUUUACACACCCCUGUGCCUCGAUUUCUCCUUGUGGGCUCUAAAGAUUGAACUCACGUCCUUCACAGACUGAACUCUCUCUCUCUGGCCCUGUGCUUCUUAUCUUCUUCUUCUUUUAAUAUGUGAGCUGUUGAUUCACUUGGAAUCUAUCCUAGUUUAGAAUGUCAGGUGUGGAUUCAACUUCAUUAUUCUCCAGAUGGCUCCUCAAUUAUCUCACUACUGUUGAUCGAAGUCUUUGGCUGACUUCCUGGCUCCUGUUGCUAACAGAGGAGCCCUAAGGCUCAAAGAGAGGGAGGGACUUCCCCAGCUUGCCAGCCAGCGGUAGAGGAUAACAAGUUCCUCUCUGGACGGGGCUGACGGCUGCUUCUCAAGGGGCUCCUGAGGCUGUGUGCUGUGGGUGCGCGUGGGCAGAGGGGACACUAACAGGGCUUCCGUUGCCCCUGGUGCUCACUGCUUUGCCUCAUCCUGUCUCACACUGCUCUGGAAUUGACAGAUUUAUUUCACUGUCUCACCUGGUGACUCGGGUGCCAAAUUUCCUCUCCUCCAAGCAGAAACAUAAUUGAAGUUUCCACAUCUGGAAGCGGUGUUGGAUUGUUUUGUUUGUUUUUCUGCCAUUUUUCCUUUAGAAGGGAUGUUUAUAUCUCUUCACAGGAAUCAUUCUAAAUGACGUGGCAAGGUGAGGCCGCCAGGCUGUAGAAAAGGCUCCUGUACUUGCUAAAUUACUGUCAGGCUGGCCCUUUUUAGCACAAAGGUGACUAUGACUUUUGUGUGUGUGUGUGUGUGUGUGUGUGUGUGUGUGUGUUUCUCUGGUUCUUCUAGAGUUGUUUAGGGUAGCAGACAUGGCAGUUGUGACUCUCUGAACUCUCUCAAUGACACAGAAGUCAUUGAGAGCUUUCAGAGACCAAAUCUAAUAACCAAGGUGAAUUCAAGGCAAAACGUGAAGAAUUGGAGUAGAUCAGAAUCCUUCUGCUAUGCAAGGGCUGAACUCUGCUCCUGGCAGUGGCUGACGCUGUAACCUCAGGCAUUCAGUUAUUUGGACAAGAUGAUUUCUGAAGUCAUCUGCAGCUCUCAGCAUCUGUCCUUGUGUCUGUGACCCGUGCCAAAAUGAUAAAACUAAGCAGUGCACACGUAUCCCUCAGUUGCUUUUGAAUAUUGACUGACUAGUAUAACUGUCCCCUUCUUUGGUUUACUCAUCGCUGAUGAUGUGACACAUGGCAUUCUGUGGAGAGAUAGAAUAGUAGGGUGUCUUGGAGAGCUCAGAGCUUCGGAUGAGAUGUGACAGGCGCUUUGCUUGUAGAACCUGAAGGGAUAGACACUGGGUGAAGGAGUACGAAAUAGACAAGAGUGAGAAGAAGAAGAAGAAUGGUCGGUUUUGGAAACACCUGAGAGAGAGGUAGGCCCCGAGUGACUGAAGGAAGAGGCAACGUUCUGCACAAGGGUGGACAUGAGCAAGUCCAGGAAGGCUUUAAAGUGGGAGUCAGGGCUGAAGGAUAAGUGGUGAUCACCAAGACAGUUUAGCAUUACAUGGGGCCAAGUCCUCAACCUCAUUGACUUUACUGCACAGACAGAGUGGAGCCAGGAUGCAAAAUACUUCAGAAGCCGAUGAAUAUAAGAAAUAAUAAAAGGACAGUGUCCUUUUUACAGAGCAGAAGCACAGCGAGAGUGACUGAGUGACUGCGAAAUGCUGGCACCACUCUGAGUCUUCUGCAUGUAUCAUUGCGGCUAGCUAUCACGUGAGGGCUGGGGGUGUAACUUGGUCCUAGAGUCUUUGCCUAGCAGGCGUGAAACCCUGGGUUUAAUCCCCUCUCCAUCCUGGGAGUCGUCACUCCAUAAAACAGAAAGUAGAUAAGUGUAUCCCAAUCAAGACCUCAGAGUGGUGCGUGUGUGCGUGCAUGCAUGUGUGUGUGUGCGUGCGUGUGUAGAUUCCCACUAAUGCCUGCUGACUCUAUGGGUGUUCUCUUCUCAUCGUGGUUCGACCUCUUGUGAAGAUCAGACUUGGUGGUCACUCAACCUUCCAAGCAGGGUGACUUGAGCUUUUAGGCAGAAGAAAGCCAACAGCAGAACUGUCCUUACCAAUAGCUCUUGUCUAGAGGGCUGAGGCCAAGCUCUGUCUCUCUGUGUGUCCCCUGAGCUCAGAACUUUAAGGACCUGUGCAUAGCUACUGGGUAGCUUUGACUGCGGCUACACAGUCAAGCCAGUGAGUCUGACCUUGGGCAAAGUCUAGGGGUGCACAUGUCUCCCUGGGGACACCUGGACUCACAUUGUACCUGCUGUUCCUGUUGCCUUUUGCUUCUGUGGAACCCCCUGUGUCUUCUGGGAGUGUCCACUGCUCUCUCUGUGGCCAUUGAGCCAGAUGCACUGUCUGAGCAGAGCAGAGCUUCCACAGCAUUUCAUUUGGCUGCUCCCAGAUUCAUUCACUCAUUAAGAGGCUGAGCCCAGGCUGAGACCUGAGCACUAGACAAGUCGUUACUUGGGCCAGAUGACCUUCCUCCUCCUUCUCCUUUUCUCUGUGGCCUCAGUAACUUGGCCUUUUGUGUAACGUAUGGAAAUAGGUUUCAGGAAGAUAAUGGCAGAAUGGAUUAUCGACCCUCAAAUAUUGGCCAAGCCAUAGCGAUAGUAACAUAGCAACAGCUGACGUGACUGGUCCAUGUUUGCCUUAACCCACUUUGCACGUGUUAUUGAUCAUUUAUAGUAAUAGUAAUGUGGGUGCUGCCAUACAGACUCCACAGACAGGCACAAGGAAGAGAAGGCAAAGGAAGGAGGGCAUUGUCCUACGUAGUCUAGUGUGAGCAGUUCAGAGUCCGAGAUAGUUGCUUUGUAAUUCUUAUUCAUUCAUCUGUUGAUAAGAGCUGCACAUGGGGCUGCCGCUGCCGCUGCUUAAACGCUCUAUUUCGGCCCCUCUCUGUGAAGGCACAGGAAGACAACAUUUGCUUACUCUGAUCCCAGAAGAGUGGGAAGAUUUAUGUCUCGUGAAAUGGCUAAUCAGGACCUACACAGGGGUUGACAUUGGAGCUGAGAUCAACAGAAUAGCUCGAUGCGGGGGUAAACUCAGAACAGCCCUAGCAUGUGGUCAGCAUGUGCUAGGGAGGCCCAAGCAUGUGGACCCAGUCCUAACCACCAAGAGGCUGGCAGAGGAGGGGUAGGCUUAUGGGUUCUGCUGCCUUUGAUUUGUCAGUGGGACAGGUAGUCUGGUCUGAACACCAUCAGCCAAACGGUCCCACAGAGGAGUUUACGGGGAAGGUAAGAGUGGCGUGGUUCUUAGUGUCUCGGGUUCCAGCAUCACAACCAUAAACCCAUGCCUGCAGGGUUACCUUUGUUCACUGCAGAGAGAGCUCACCAAGAGCAGGUGGCCAUGUUUUCUUUGGUAAUAUUGAGUGUAUAGAGCUAAAGUAGGGUUGGAAAGGCCAUCAGAGGCCAUCUCUGUCCACCACCACCUAUACCAAAAUGCCCUGGUCUUAGAGGGGUCAGUGCUGUGACCCAGUGGUGAGCCCCCCAAAGCAGAAGCCCAGACACUAAGAAAGCAGAUCUCCUACCACUCUGCCUAGAACUGUGCUUUCUUGGGAGGGAAUUUUUGUAACAGCUGCUCACUCCCUGGGAAGAUGGCCUUUAAUCUUUGCAGCAUUAUUGACAACCUUCUGUUGAUCUUACCCGGCCUCCUCUGCCUCCGCCUCACUUUAGAUAGGUGUCUUUAAAACAGUUUGUAUUUUCUGUGUGUGGGUGUUUGUAUGCAUGCGUGUAUGUAUGCCAUAUGUGUGCCUUGUGUUCACAGAGGUUAAAGGAGGGCAUCAAGUCCCCUGGAACUGGAGUUACACGUGGUUGUGAGCUGCCACGUGGGCACUGCUGGGAAUUGGACCCGGGUUAUCUGGAAGGGCAGCCAUCUCUCCAGCCCCACAUUGGGUUUCGUUUUUCACAUUGUAAAGUGUUUAAGAGUGGCUGGAAAUGAAUGAUGCCGAAUUUGCAUAAAAAUAAGAUAGAACAUUAUUUUUAUCAACAUUAUUUUAUAGUCAUCAAAUGGACUUAAUGUGGAAAUAUAGUUCUGUAGGUUUUAAUGAAUUUACAGUAUCUACAAGUUGCUUUGCCUAGGCUACAUGAGACCUUGUCUCAAAGAACGCUUACUUUGGGUGAGUUACGCCCCACUCCCCUUGAGCUGUCUCCCUGUAGAAGAGGAGGCUGAGACUAGUGAAGCAAAUCAUGAUGGCUGACUAGCACAGAAAGGGCCGAGCUCAGUCCCUGACCCACAGCAGUCCCAGUACAGGAGAUCUCUGUUGUUGCUUGACAAAGCUUGGCCUGAUCUGGCUGUUGAGUUUUACCAUCUAAGAAUUGUUCUUUAGGGAAGAGGGUGCGUUAGCCAAGGUUCCGUCAGACUCCGUGUAUACAAAGAGUUCAGGGUGAGGCUUGGUCUACACAGCUGUGGGGACUGCUGCAUUCAUCCUUAUGGCUUACUGUCUGGAAGGGCAUGCCCAAAGAAACAGUGGGGCGGGAACUGAGCUGCAUGGACUUGCAUGGACAAGCCGAACUGCUUGGGAAACACCCUUUAUAAGGCCCACUGACUACAUCAGUUUCUGUGCACGGGGCCACCUGAUUCUUUUAACUACCUCUGCACAAUACCAUCCCAGCAACAAGAGGAACCAUGGUUAUUUGGAUAAAUAGGUACAGGCUGGAGGGUAAAACUCAUCAUCGCAUGGCCCAGUCUGUGUUUAGGAAAAUCAUUCUAAUGGUAGCAUCGAAGCCAAGCUGGUGGUGACAGGGUCAGAAACACAGAACAGAGGAUGAAGACUGGGUGGCUUCCUCACUGCCGAGGCAGUGUAAUGAGAUACCACACAGGUAAUGUCAGAGCUGCAAGUCUGACGGGCACUUUGUUUUCAACCACUGUAGUGACUGGGACCGUGGCUUGCCCGGAAAGCCUUUGCUGGGAGUCAGUCUUUUUGGUCACUUUUCCUAUCACUGUGAGAGGAUAUCUUGACAAAGGUAACAAAUAAGGGGAGGCGGUAUUCUGGCUUAUUAUUCAAGAGUAUAGCCUGUCAUGGUGGGGAAGUCACAGCAGCAGGGGCUGGUCACAUGACAUCCACAGUCAAGCAGCAGAAAAGGAUGACUCAUGCUGCUGCUUAGCUUUCUCUCUCCACCCAUACAGUCCAGGGUCCUAGACAGGGAAUGGCACCACCCACUGUGUACAGGUCUCUCGACCUCGAUUAGCACAAUCAGAAUAAUCCCCCAAAGGCCCAUCUCUCAGGUGAGUCUAGAUUCUGUCAAGCUAACAACACUGACCAUCACACAGCCCUUCCUGGUGGACUUUUUUUCUAGAUGCCAAGGUGCCCUUUGCAAGAAGAGGGGCCCCACUGGGAGUCUUUAUAUACAACGCCUCUUCCUGAGAAGAAACCAAAAUGGAGUGAUUGGUUCCUUCGGGCAUGGUUGACAGUGGCUCACUGUUUCAACACAGUCAGACAAAGUACUCUGCACUCCGCUCCAAGCUCAGGCUCCUCUCACCCAGUCUGCAGACAACAGGGGCUUAGUGCCCAAGGAGAACCCUGCUGAGUGCCGGCCAGUGUGCUGGCACCUUUACUGUCAACAACAAGGAGUGACAGCUAGCAUUCCUGUUCCCCUUCAUACCAAGUGCCAUGCAAGUAGGGUCUUUUUUUUCUUUUUCUUUUUCUUUUUGUUUUCUUUUCUUUUCUUUUCUUUUUUUUUUUUUUUUUUUUUGUCAUUUGGAUUUUCUAACUGCAUCAUCAGAGCAACCAUGAACUGUUAUCUAAGUUUAUCUACUUGUAAGUGGGAGAUCAUGGCAGAGAAAUUAAGCAACUUGCCUCCCAGCUACAUAAUUAUUAGUUGUACAAUUAGUGGCUAUCAAAGGAUCGGAUCCAUGUUCUGAUUCCCAAGCCCAAGGUUCAAGGCCCCAUGGUGUCUUCUUCUAUUAUAUCUGUAAUCGGAGUUUUAGAGAAAAGGCAGAGGCUCCAGCAGCUCCAGAGACUGGGCUGGGCCACCUGUCGCCAUGUGCCCAUUAAACAGCAAGUAAUGACGGAACAUGGGGAAAGGAGACUCAGUCAGUGUGAGAAAGAGGAACAAGAGCCCCAGUGACCCACAAGCCCUCCAUAGUUUCUGCCUCACGCUUGGGUUCCUGCCCUGCCUUUCCUCAAUGGUAGAUUACAACCUGGGAGUAUAAGCAAAAUAUAUCCUUUCCCUCCCAUAGAUUUCCCUUGUCUAGAGUAUAACACAUCACAGCAAUAGAAAGUAAGCUAGGAGUGUGUGCAUUAUGUAUGUGCAUGUAUGUAUUUUUGCAUGUAUGUGGAGGCCUGAAGUUGUCGGUGAGAGUCUUCCUUGAUCACUCUCAACUUAAUUCUUUGACACAGAGUCUAAACCCAGGGCUCACCCACAAGAGUCAUUUAGUCAGCUUCCUCUGAGCCUCUGUCUCUACCUUCCAAGCUUGGAAUCAUAGGAGAGCUGCUAGGCCCAUCUGGUUCUCACAAGGGCUCUGGGAAUCCAGUCCUCAUGCUUGUACAGUAAGCACUUUGUCCACUGAGCCAGCUCUCUGGUCCUCAGACCGCACAGUUGUCAUCUUGUGGCUCUUGGCUCUGGGAAUGAGCAUCUGGGAUAGGUGGGUGUGAUGGGAGGUGCAGCAGCCUGGUCCCAGGGUACAGAAGCAGAGAACUCCAUUUUCAUUUGGAAUUAUAACUCCACUUUACAUUCAGUCCUUCCUCCUUUCUGUGUAAGCGUGGGUUGUGGGAUUGUCCCCACUUCUCUGAAGACACAAAGCUUUCUGGUCAUGUCCUCUUUCCAUCAGUGUCCAGCAGUCACCUUGGAUACCAUCAGCUUCGAGGACUGUGAUCUGUGCAAACGGAGGCGUGGCACUCUUUUUCUGCAGCGUCUGCUGACAAAGCACCUUUAGCUCUCAACUUUCAAGAGUGAGGACUUCUUCCAUCAGUAACCCUGCCUCUGCACACAGUAUGGUAGACCUCACAGAUCUGAGGGUCACCUCAGUAAGUGCCACUUCGCCCAUCAGUCUCUCCUCUCUCUUCUCAAGAGGCAUGAUGCUCACACAGGACCCCUGAGGCCACACCGUGCCCGUGGGUGCAUGAACUCUGCAGAGGGUCCGAACACUAGUAUCCUGGAUGCAGCUGCUUAGACUGUUUCACCCCCUUCACACCUGAGACCUUUCUGUGUGCCCCCGGUAUCUGAUGAUAUGAAAUAGGCACCAGACAUUUACUGAUGAAUACAAAGAAAUUUAAAAUAAGUUCAAAUAGCUCUUUAGUACAUAGGCAAUUUUAUAUUUAUGAAUUAUGGAAGCUGAAUGGAGUACUAAUGGGGUAGACCUGCUCCCAUAUUUCUAUGAGAGGAAUUAAGUCUUGGCCGAGCCUUGAUAUUGCAGGGCAUGGCAUCCUCAUCAUUUUUCAGAGUUGGCCCAUGUUUUUAUUUUGUGACUGUGAAAGCUAAAAAUGCCAUUUCACAUAAAUACAUAAAACAGGGCAGCAGAAGUAUGUUCAGGGCCAUUUCGGACAUUAUUAAAAAUCCUAUCCUAAUCCUAAGUAAGCCCAAAUCCAUUUAACUUAAAAAAAAAAACCCUCAAAUGACAGUUUUUUAAAUCCAACAUUCUAACUCAGUAAAAUCCAGAGAUAGACUAAUUUUUUGCUUACACACUUAGAAAUGACAGUAGGAAAAAUAUUAGAAAGAAACCAUUUCCUUUUUGUAAAAGCAGAGAACAUUGUGUUCACAGUGGUGGCACCACCGUUGAUAAUAUAAUCUGAGUCUUAGCUGAGGUGUUUGGGAGCAUCCAUUGGUACUGGGUGUUGGGACAGCAUGCACAGUGCGGACUACGCCUGUCGUGUGCUCAGAACCAAGGAGACCAUGAAGUCCUGUGGUGCUACACAGGCGCACACUGUCAGAAACACCUCAGAGCCGUUAUGAGUUUGAUUCUGAAUUCAUUUUUGGUCAUUGUGUGCUCAUAAACUUUCUAUUGUUGUCAACUUUUUGUAAACCCCACAUUUAGUUACCUGACUCCUAGUGUAAGGAGCUGUCUUAGAGAAGAGGGACCCAUACUGCCAAACAGCCAGGUAACAUCGCAUAGCAACGUCACCGUAUUUCUUCCUUGGAACAACUCUCAACCAAGACCAGACUUUUGAAUCUUAAUGUGCCUGCUAGUUUUAUGCCAACUUGUCAUAAACUAAAGUCAUCUGAGAAGAAGGAGGCAUUUAGGAAAAUGCUCCUGUCAGAUCUAACUGUAGCCAGGCCUAUAAGGUAUUUUCUUAAUUAGUGAUUGAUGAGGGAAGGCCCAGCCCAUUGUGGGUGGUUCUAUGGUCCUAGGGUCUUUAAGAAAGGCUGAGGAAGCCAGGGGAAGCAAGCCAGUAAGCAACACUUCUCCAUGUCCAUGCCCCUGCCUCCAGAUCCCUCCCCUGUUUGAGUUCCUGUCAGGACUUCCUUUGAUGACGAUGUAAGCCAAUGAACUCUUUCCUCCCAACUUGCUUUUAGUCAGGGUGUUUCAUCACAGUGAAACUUUAACCAGGGCACCUAACUUGAAAGCCUAACAGUUGUGUGGCCCAAAUUACCGUGCUCCUCUGACUGUGGUUCCCCAUCUAUGGAUGGGGCUGUUGGUGCCCCACCACAGAGGACUGUGAGGAUGAGAGUACAGUAAAGCCCUCAACUCAGGCUGCACAGAGUAAGGCUGAGAUAGUGAUCGUGGUACUGACUUUACAGCAGAAGAAAUGCCGGGUCGGGGAGGUUAGCUGCUGUCACUCUGACUUUAUAUAAAAGGAAAGAAACCAAGGUUGGGCAUCUUGUCUACCGUUUUACCACCAGUGAGCAGAACUGUUGAGCCGCAGUUCAGGUCUCCUGAUAUCUCACCAGACACUCCUGAAAACUGAAACAAAUGAUCUCAGCUCAUCUGAACUAACCCCUUAAAGAUAGAAUCCAAACCCAACACCCUUUCUGCUAAAUCUUACUUUUCCCAAAACAGCCUUCCAGUGAAAGGUGGGUCUGUGAAUACAAGCCCAGCACGGCACCUGAGUGAUUGAGCAGACAACAUUCCGAGGAGCCUUGGCUCCCCAGGGUGCUCCGGGAUUGCAGUAUUUUAGUUAAUGGGUUUUCUCAGAGUGUGAAUCUCUUCUUUCCGCUCUUCUCUGAAAGCCACUGGGAAAGGCAUUGCAGCCACUCACUCCCUGCUGCGAGAAGAAGCUGAGUGGUCCAGGCAUGCAAUUAAAUUCUCCCAAGAUGGCAGAGGACCUUGGUGAGAGGUUCAGAUGCCAGGUGUGAAGAGCAGGACUCUCCUAACCUCCGUACAUCUGUCUGGGUCUUUCAUGGUGUUACACAGCUUCACCAUGGCAACAGUGUGUGAACACUGAGCCCGAGGGAAACAGCAGGAACACACAUCUGCACAUCACAAGCGAGGAGACUCGGGUGCAGAGAGCAGGAGUGUCUACUGGGGUUGCGUGUCAGAGCUGGGACUGCAGUGGCGUUUGCUGAGAUGGUGUCAUGAGGCGGACAGGCCUGGCUUUGAAUCCUGGUUUUGCCUGCGUAGCCUUUGAGCAAGUUAUGCUUGGGUCCCAAGGUUUCUUCACUGUAAAAAUCAGAUGAUUUCAGGGACUAGGAUACAGCUCUGUGGUACAGUGUAUGCUAGUACACACAGGCUCUGGGACCAAUCCCCAGGGGCAGCAGGGCAAAGAAGGCAGGGAGCUCAUUGAAGAAAACAUGUUGGGGAUUCUGACAGUGAAACUAGUGUCGCGCCUUAACACGUGGAAGCUCUUGUUAUUGCCUCUUUCUCCCACUUUUCCCAGCUCCCUGCCUCUGAGGUUAUUUAUAGUAAGCACAAGGGAUUGGCCUAGCCUGAGCCCACCAAACCCUAGAAGUCUCCUUGAAGUUGGUCUGCCCCGCAAACUGCGGAGGAUGGCAUUCUUACUUUCCUCUUCCUCAUAACAGCACUCAGAGCGUUCAUUCUGUGGGUAAAACUUUCUCUCCAGAGGUGCUGUGAAGCCACAGGCUAAUGUCUAUGUAUGAAAUUGUUGACCGUGAGCACCCAUGGUCUGGAAAUGCUUUUGAGAUUCUGUAGGGCAGUCUUUUAAAGACAGGCACAGGAUUUGAACAUGAGACCACGAUGUAUUUUAAAUAAGAUUGGACACAUUUGGGUGGGGUGACUAUAGACCUUCUUGUGUUCAUGUAAGCAGGCAUGUUUCGCCUCAUCUACCCAAGACUAACCCAUUGCUAACCUAAAACACUAGAGUUCGAAUCGAUCAGAGGCAUUCACUGCUAUUUAUCUUACUGCAGAAGAAAGAGGACUCAAGCCGGAAGCUGGGAGGCCGAGAGGCUGCUCUCAUCUCACCCAAGUUCAGCGAUGCCACCUGAGAGACAUUCUCUGCUUUUCUGCCUCAUUUGUAGAGACAGUGGGUCUCCUUUAGAAAACCUCCUGUCAGCUUUGCCAAAAGCUGCGAAGCCAUGUACUUACUUUAAUGUAUUAACUCAUAUCCUCAAAUUCCCUCCUAAGGAAGGCUCUUGAAUUUUGAAAACUCUGGGCUAGGGUCCAGCAUGUCAGAGGUCCAGAGUUCCAUCUCUAAUACUGUCAUGCAUUUAUUUUGUGUUUUGAGUGGUGGUGGUGGUGGUCGUGUAUUGUGUGGUUGUUGUUAUUGUUGUUUGAGACAAAUUCUCACGAUGUAGAUCAGGCUGGCCUAGAACUCAUUCUGUAGGCAAGGCUGACCUUGAACUUUGGCUGUCCUCUUACCUCUGUCUCCCAGGUCCUGUGAUUAUAGGCAUGUACCAUCACACUUGGCUUUGUCUCAGUGUUUUUACGCCUUAGUAAAAGUAAGAACUACACAAAUGCCCAGCACCCAUGCUGGAUGGACAAGGACUAUCAACUUGUCCCAUUGGCAGCAUCAGAUCUGUAGAUGUGGAUCAAAAGGCCUCCCCCCAUCCUCCAGCACCUGCCCACCUCUUGUCUCUGCCCAGUUCUGUAGAGCUCCCUUUCUUCAGAAACACCGUCACUUGCUCCCGUUUCUGUCCCCCUUGGCUCUGCUCUAAUGUGUAAGCUUUGGUUUGUAUUUACGUCUUACCUUCAUGUCUCUGUGUCUACAGCCUGGGUGCUUGUGAGUGUGUAAGAACCAAGGUCCCAGAUCCUGGCAAAAGGGCCGGCAUCAUUGAAGAACUCAAUGUUGAUUGCAUUUUCACUUUCUACUUUUUUGAUUUCCCGUGUUUACUGCCAUUUCACAAUGGCCGCUCAGUACACUUAGAAUAAAUGUAGCAAUAACUUACUGAACCGUUUAUGCGCCUCACUGAACCGUUUAUGCGCCCUUAAAAGGUAACUACCCCCCAAGUUCUCAACUCCAACAGUGCAGCAGAGCCACGUGUUAGCUCACCAAGAUGCAGGCUCCACGGCUAAGACCUGUCAGUUAUUACCUGGCCACCCUUAGGGACCUCUCAGGCCCUUUCAGCUCACUGUGGGUUGUGCGCUUUGCUAGAGAUUGAACACAGAGCUGCACACAUAUAAGGGAAGUCCUCUACGCUGGGCCCUACCUCAGGCCCAUUUGUCUGUCAGGAUGGAUAGGUUCCUUGCUGGCUCACCUGUCAGAAGCCCCAGCAGGCUGGUCUUGUUGAGCAGCACGCCAGAUGGUGAACAGCUCUGCUAGCUUCGUCACUGAGCACAUCUUCUCUGCAGAGUCUGCUUUAUACGGCAAUUUUUCUCUGCAUAGCAACACUUGAAGAUUACUUUUAUUAUCUCUAUUUGAGAUAUAUAUGUAUGUAUAUAUGUAUAUAUGGAGGGCAAAGAAAAGUUGUGGCUUUCCCAAGGCACGCCGCCCACCUUAGCUGUGUGCAAGCACACCCUGCCCUCCGUCCAGGUGUGAUAGAUCGGCACACUUGGUGGGCAGCAGUGCACCAUCAAGGAGAGGCUCCGGCUCCCCAAAUGUGCUGUGGUGCCCACCCACCUGCUUCUAGGGUGCAGUGAAGCAGUGGAAUCCAGUUUGCGGCGGUGACCUAAGAAGGGCUAUUUUUAGUAAGAAAGUAGGUCAGGGGCUGCAGCGGUGCUGCCUGCGAGAUGAGCAACCUCCCCUCUCGGCAGGACGCUUUCUCGAUUCUCAACAGCCAGAAUGGAGGUGAGGAAGGCAAGGCCGACUGCUUCACGUGAUCGCCUCUGUCAUCGGCAGGGUGGGACUCCUGGGACACUGCACACAUACACCCAAGACACAGAAGGUUUGCAGAGAACCUGAGAGAUUGCUGGAGCCUCCGCAGUGCUUGCACAGAGAGCCAGAGCCGAGUCCAGUGUCAGACUCCAGUACUGCAGCUACGUGGUCGGUCCAUCACACCAUGCUGGGAGUGAUUUUAAUAAACAGCCACCCUGCUUC